UUGUUGUGGGUUUCUUUCUACAUUCCAUCAUUGGUUUCAGAUAUUUCAUGUAAGCCGCCCUGAGAAGGGCGGAAUAUAAAUAUUGGAAAUAAAUAAAUAAAUAAAUGCUGUGUUUGGUGGUCCCUCUGUAGACUUGUCCACAGCUGCGUGGUAUAAGGUAGACUCCUGCAGAGGUGAGAGGAUCCCUCUUGUCUUUUGCUGACCGUAGCAUUUGUUGGAUUUUCUUUGUGGGUCUGUAGAUGGUUUGUAGCAACCCCUGAGACCCCACCAGCCCCUUCCCACAAGGGCUGCCCCAUAGUCCCCACAGGUCAGGGGCUGCAUGCACCUCCACCCUGAGACGUAUCGUGCAGUCAACAGGGGCCAGUUUGGGCAGGUGGGCACUCCCUUGCACUGAGGCCUCUCCUUCUCCCACCCUCAGGUUGCUCCUGCCUGGCUUUCACCUCCAACUUCUUGUGCGCAGCCUGCGACCGGCGAUGGGAAGAGCACGAGACCUUCUUUGAGUCGGAGGAGACGCGCCGCAAAGGAGGCCGGCCGUGCGGGCCCUGGAGGCUCCCCGAGAAGAAUGGCAGGAAGGCCUGAGGCGGACAGAGGCCAGAGAGGGUCGCCUCCCCGAAUAAUGCGGCGCAGGCGCCAUUCAAUAAAGGGGCAGAGCCCCCCUCAGGCAACAACCCCUUCUCUGGCUCUCUCUUGUUAGUGUGUUUCUGUUGUUAGACUGAAAUGUUAUAUCAAGUUAUGCUUUGGGUGUUUGCAACUGUGUGUUUUCUGGCAAAGCAUUCCAGCAGCACAAGGGUUAAGCACAAGCAUGCUUGAUUGAUUGCCCACAGGACCAAUAGGUCAGGGCUUCCGUUUUGAACUGUCUGGCCAGAACUCAUGAACUCAGGAAUGCGGGAAGUGCCAGCUUCGUGGAGAUAACAGCCAAGCCGAGCUGAGAAGACGCGCUAUGUGUGUGGAGAGCUAUGGCUUUUAGCAACUGUAUAUAUGUAAAAUAAAGAAUUUAGACCUGCUGGGAUCAGCAGUAAAUGAACGACGCAGCUGUAGUUUUGUUGGUGCCACUUUGCUGCUGCAGAAAGUGGUCCUUCGGGUGAGCAGGCGAAGAGAAACUGACUCACCAAGUCAGUCGGGGUGACAGAGGAGAGAUUCAACUCCCUAGCCCAGCAUCCACACACCCUGACAUCUCUCUCUCUCUGUUGU
rnacentral:lncRNA from 1 species